CGUGUUUCGACAUCGGUGUGCGAGGCUACAAAGCCCUCAAGGAUGGGAAGUUAUGGGUCCCAGCCAUUUCGAAUUGAUGCCUGUGAAAUGAAGUCGUAUUUGACGAUUUAUGGGUACGCACCUCAAAUGAAACUCGUGACAUGCAUUAUGAGCGCCGAUAGGAAGAUUGCCAACCACGUUAGGUUACCAAUGGCGCUUUGUGCCAAACGAUGAAUCUCGUACGAAGCUUCAGGUGGUGAAAACCCAAGGUGGUGAGAACCCAAUCUCGCCAGUUAGUUGGCGUCUUACGCAAGCAAGGGAAACUAGACGGUACAUCGCGAGUGCCCAAGUAUACGUAAAACAGACGAACUUGG